UACGAAGGGGGCUAGCGUUGUUCGGAUUUACUGGGCGUAAAGCGCACGUAGGCGGAUUGUUAAGUCAGGGGUGAAAUCCCGGAGCUCAACUCCGGAACUGCCUUUGAUACUGGCAAUCUUGAGGCUGGAAGAGGUUAGUGGAAUUCCCAGUGUAGAGGUGAAAUUCGUAGAUAUUGGGAAGAACACCAGUGGCGAAGGCGGCUAACUGGUCCAGAUCUGACGCUGAGGUGGCGAAAGCGUGGGGAGCAAACAGGG
rnacentral:rRNA from 1 species